GUAGUCUGCAACUCGACUACAUGAAGCUGGAAUCGCUAGUAAUCGCGAAUCAGAAUGUCGCGGUGAAUACGUUCCCGGGUCUUGUACACACCGCCCGUCACACCAUGGGAGUCAGCAACGCCCGAAGCCGGUGACCCAACCGAAAGGAGGGAGCCGUCGAAGGUGGGGCCGAUAACUGGGGUGAAGUCGUAACAAGGUACC
rnacentral:rRNA from 1 species